rnacentral:rRNA from 1 species
UGCAAGUCGAACGGUGAAGGGGGGCUUGCCCUCUGGAUCAGUGGCGAACGGGUGAGUAACACGUGAGCAAUCUGCCCCUGACUCUGGGAUAAGCGCUGGAAACGGCGUCUAAUACUGGAUACGAGCUGCGAAGGCAUCUUCAGCAGUUGGAAAGAUUUUUCGGUCAGGGAUGAGCUCGCGGCCUAUCAGCUUGUUGGUGAGGUAAUGGCUCACCAAGGCGUCGACGGGUAGCCGGCCUGAGAGGGUGACCGGCCACACUGGGACUGAGACACGGCCCAGACUCCUACGGGAGGCAGCAGUGGGGAAUAUUGCACAAUGGGCGGAAGCCUGAUGCAGCAACGCCGCGUGAGGGAUGACGGCCUUCGGGUUGUAAACCUCUUUUAGCAGGGAAGAAGCGUGAGUGACGGUACCUGCAGAAAAAGCACCGGCUAACUACGUGCCAGCAGCCGCGGUAAUACGUAGGGUGCAAGCGUUAUCCGGAAUUAUUGGGCGUAAAGAGCUCGUAGGCGGUUUGUCGCGUCUGCUGUGAAAUCCCGAGGCUCAACCUCGGGCCUGCAGUGGGUACGGGCAGACUAGAGUGCGGUAGGGGAGAUUGGAAUUCCUGGUGUAGCGGUGGAAUGCGCAGAUAUCAGGAGGAACACCGAUGGCGAAGGCAGAUCUCUGGGCCGUAACUGACGCUGAGGAGCGAAAGGGUGGGGAGCAAACAGGCUUAGAUACCCUGGUAGUCCACCCCGUAAACGUUGGGAACUAGUUGUGGGGGUCCAUUCCACGGAUUCCGUGACGCAGCUAACGCAUUAAGUUCCCCGCCUGGGGAGUACGGCCGCAAGGCUAAAACUCAAAGGAAUUGACGGGGACCCGCACAAGCGGCGGAGCAUGCGGAUUAAUUCGAUGCAACGCGAAGAACCUUACCAAGGCUUGACAUAUAGAGGAAACGGCUGGAAACAGUCGCCCCGCAAGGUCUCUAUACAGGUGGUGCAUGGUUGUCGUCAGCUCGUGUCGUGAGAUGUUGGGUUAAGUCCCGCAACGAGCGCAACCCUCGUUCUAUGUUGCCAGCACGUAAUGGUGGGAACUCAUGGGAUACUGCCGGGGUCAACUCGGAGGAAGGUGGGGAUGACGUCAAAUCAUCAUGCCCCUUAUGUCUUGGGCUUCACGCAUGCUACAAUGGCCGGUACAAAGGGCUGCAAUACCGUGAGGUGGAGCGAAUCCCAAAAAGCCGGUCCCAGUUCGGAUUGAGGUCUGCAACUCGACCUCAUGAAGUCGGAGUCGCUAGUAAUCGCAGAUCAGCAACGCUGCGGUGAAUACGUUCCCGGGUCUUGUACACACCGCCCGUCAAGUCAUGAAAGUCGGUAACACCUGAAGCCGGUGGCCCAACCCUUGUGGAGGAGCCGU